rnacentral:misc_RNA from 1 species
GGUGACUUCCCUAAAUGGUUGUCAAGUCCAUCCAGGCGGUUGCUUCAGACGCCGCUGAUGGCCAUGACAGUGAAUGUGACGGUGGCACAGGAUGGGAGUGGGCAGUACACGACCGUAUCGGCGGCGGUGGAGGCGGCGCCUGCGGAGAGUGUGAGUAGGUACGUGAUUUAUGUGAAGAAGGGGGUUUAUAAGGAGAAUGUGGAGAUAAAGAAGAAGAAGUGGAAUAUAGUGAUCAUCGGCGACGGCAUGGACUCGACUGUCAUCUCCGGCAGCCGGAACUUCAUCGACGGCUGGACCACUUACCGGAGCGCCACUUUCGCUGUUUCUGGUAAGGGUUUCAUCGCCCGGGACAUAUCAUUCGAAAACACUGCGGGGCCUGAGAAACACCAGGCGGUGGCUCUUCGCAGCGACUCAGAUCUCUCAGUCUUCUUCCGGGUUGGUGUCAGCGGCUACCAAGACUCCCUCUAUGCUCAUGCGCUCCGCCAGUUCUACCGCGACUGUCGCAUCUCUGGCACAGUCGACUUCAUCUUCGGCAAUGCCGCCGUCGUCCUCCAAAACUGCACCAUCUCAGUGCGCAAGCCGCUCCCCCAACAAAAGAACACUGUCACCGCACAGAGCAGAAAAGAUCCAAAUCAGAACACUGGCAUCUCGAUCCACAACUGUCGCAUUGUGGCGACACCAGAGCUCGAGGCGGUCAAAUUGAGUUAUCCAACAUUUCUGGGGCGACCAUGGAAGAUGUACUCGAGGGUGGUGGUUAUGUUGAGCUAUAUCGGAGAUAAUGUUGAUCCUGCAGGGUGGCUGGCUUGGAAUGCAACGUUUGCGCUGGAUACUCUUUAUUAUGGGGAGUAUAUGAACUACGGGCCGGGAGCCGCUUUGGGGAAGAGGGUGACGUGGUCGGGGUAUCGGGUGAUCACACUGCCGGAAGAGGCGAAGAAGUUCACUGUCGGGGAGUUUAUUUCCGGGACUUCUUGGCUGCCCUCUACUGGGGUUGCAUUCUUGGCUGGUUUGGGAGUUUGAGGGCUAUAUAGACUAUUUA